AAAUAGAUUAAUUCUGUCUAAUAUUAAUUGAUUAUUAAUUUUGGCUAUUUUUGGAUUGUAUUAAAUAUUAGUUUUUGCGUGGUUUAAAUUUAUGUCUAAAUGAUAAAAUUUAAGUUUAUUUGUAGUUUUUAUUUUUUUAUAUUGCAUAAUUGUAGAUUUAAGUUAUUUUAAUAAGAGAUGUUUAAUUUUGUGCCAGCAGACGCGGUUAUACAAUUAUCUCGAGUUAAUUUUUUAGGGUUGAUAUUAAUUUUUGUUUUUGGGGUUUAUUUUAUUUUUGUUAAGUGGAAUUUCAAUGUUAAGAAUAUUCUCUUGGUUUAAGAUUAUAUGAAGUUUAGUUAUUGAGACUAGGAUUAGAUACCCUAUUAUUCUAAAUGUAAAUUUUGACCAUUGUAUUAAUAGUUAUGAUCUUUAAAUAAAAAGGAUUUGGCGGUAAUUUAGUCUUUUCAGAGGAACCUGUCCUGUAAUUGAUAAUCCACGUUGGAUUUUACUUUAAUUGAUUGUUUGUAUAUCUCUGUCAUAUGAGUGUUUUAUUAGAAUAUUUUCUUUAAUCAUUAAUUAUUUGAAAGAUGUCAGGUCAAGGUGCAGCUAUAUUAAAGGUUGAGAUGGGUUACAUUUAGUGUUUACUUAUAGGAUUAAUUUAUAUUGUAAUGUAUAUAUGAAAUGGGAUUUGAUAGUAAUUUUUAUUAUUUAAUAAUAAUGAUUUUGGCUCUAAAUUAUGUACAUAUCGCCCGUCACUCUCGUUUAUAAGAUGAGAUAAGUCGUAACAAAGUAAUUUUACCGGAAGGUGAAGUUGGAAAUAU
rnacentral:ncRNA from 1 species